rnacentral:lncRNA from 1 species
GGUUAUUGGAUUUUAAGACAUACAUCAUUGUGAUAGAUAGCUCCCUCAUCCUGUCAAAUACUCCAAGGAUUUCAAGAGCCUCAGAUUUCCUUCAAUCAGUCAUUCAAAUUUUGAGUUCAAUGUGAAAUAUUUUGUAGUUUUAGCUUUUGGUAUUAGCUUUGAAAUAAGUUAAGGGUCACUUGAUUUGGAUAAAAAAAAAUAUUUUGAUGGAAUGUUGAGUGUGCAGGGGUUGGCU